rnacentral:rRNA from 1 species
CCCGAAAGAUCGAAUGGGGAGAUUCAUCGUCAGCGCCGUUGGCUCUCGAGUGGUGCGCGAUGUGACGAUUUAUCGUUUUCACGCGCUUGCUCGGUGUGUCCGACGCGCGUCGGCGUGCACUUCUCCCCUAGUAGAACGUCGCGAUCCGCUGGGUGUACGGUCUACGGGGCCGCGUCAUUAGACUGUCGCGGACGUUUCGGCGUCCGUUGUCAGAGGCGUGGAUCUUAACCCGACCGACUGCCCGGCGGCAUUCGAAUAAUGGUAUUGGGCCGCGUCGAAUUGUUGCGUUCCGGCCUGUCGCAAGCUCGCCCGCGUUUUUCCUCGGAGUUACGGACCUAGCGCCGUACCCGGGGCCGGGCAGCUGUUGGCGGCGGUGUUCGCGAACUGGCUCUAUCUACCGAUCAGCGACGCUAUUGCUUUGGGUACUUUCAGGACCCGUCUUGAAACACGGACCAAGGAGUCUAACAUGUGCGCGAGUCAUUGGGCAUACAACGAAACCCAAAGGCGUAUUGAAAGAGAAGGCCGACCCUCGCGUCGGCCGAGGGAGGAUGGGCCGCGACACGCUGCGGCCUCGCACUCCCGGGGCGUUUCGAGCUCAUCACGAGCUGAGGCGCACCCAGAGCGCACACGUUGGGACCCGAAAGAUGGUGAACUAUGCCUGGUCAGGACGAAGUCAGGGGAAACCCUGAUGGAGGUCCGUAGCGAUUCUGACGUGCAAAUCGAUCGUCGGAACUGGGUAUAG